GCGUCGUGUUUUCUGCUACCAGUAAAUAAUGUUUCGAGAUUUAUCUUCAAACAUCAAAAGUCGAUGGAACGUUGCGGUAUACGAUUUUAUAGCGCCUAACUCGUCGAAAUACAUUUCACCGUCGACCAUAAAUAGAAUUACAAGAAUGUUUCUUCGAUCAAUGGGAUUGCCGUUUUCCCGUUAUAUUUACACACAUAUACGAAGUCCCCGAUUAUUCGAAAUUUUCGCAUUUACACAUAAAUAAGCCCAUAUUGUAUCGUAUCGUUCGAUUAACUCUUAUUAAAUGUAAGUACGUAUGUACACGUAUCUAAUAACUAUUGAUGGAUAAAAGAGAGUAUUAAGAGAAAAUUUUAACGUUGUAACUGUAUUCUGUUAACAUUUAGAAUUCAUCUUAAAUCUCACAAUCAAUUUAGAAAAUUUUCUACAAAAUUAAAAUAAUAAUAAAUUUUCGAUUUAAAUUAUAAAAUGUUAUGAUCAAGCUAAAUACGAAAAAAAAAAAAUGAACUUCGUCGUAUCAUUUGUUUAGACGUUUGUUGUUAUACGUAAAAUAUUAUUAGAUGAAUGUAUCGAUUAAUACAAAAUUGCAAAAUGGCAGUCAAGCAAUCAACGAUUGUCAAUAAACGAAAACGAGAUCUAUAUGAACGAUGAACGAUGUGUUUACAAACACAUAGUGAAUAACGUCCAAUCUAUGUUAUGUAAACUGUACGUUGAUUUCUCUCUGUACUAUGCGUCUCAUUAAAUCUUCCUUGUCGAACGAUAUCGUUUAUCAAAUCAGACAUAUGUUACAUAACGAAUGCUGGUGAUGGUAGAUAUACGAUCGAUAGCGUUCUUAAAUGGUCUGUUCCGUAAAUGAAGAUCAAAAGAACGAGAUAUUACGUAGUUAAAUGGAAUACACUUCUAUAUUAGUGUAAUAUAGUUGACAGGCUUUCAUCGCGUUUCGUGCAACAGUCACGUCACAUCGAUGAAUCUCGAUUCUCCGAGUAAUAAAGCGAACUGCAUUAAUCGAUAUGCACUCGAUUGCAUCAAGGUAUAUAUGAGCUUGUUCGUACACGUAUUAAUGCCCGCUACCACAAAAUUUCUAUAAUUUCGACGUACAUAUAGAAAUUUACACACACACACAGAGAGAAAGAGAGAGAAAGAGAGAGAGAGAGAGAGAGAGAGAGAGAGAGAGAGAGAUGCCAUGUGUUUCCUCUAACUAGAAUACUAAUAUAAAUAUCUCUGCUAACUUGAACAAUACAAAGCGAUUAUUAUCGAUUAUUAUCGAAAGCGAUUAAUAUCGAUAAAGUCCCUUUAAUUUUUUAUUAUUAAAACAUUAAUACCGAUAAUGAAGUUUUAAGUUGAUUUGAAAAUCUUUAAUUU